rnacentral:rRNA from 1 species
GUGGGGAAUAUUGGACAAUGGGCGAAAGCCUGAUCCAGCCAUGCCGCGUGUGUGAAGAAGGUCUUCGGAUUGUAAAGCACUUUAAGUUGGGAGGAAGGGCAGUAAGUUAAUACCUUGCUGUUUUGACGUUACCGACAGAAUAAGCACCGGCUAACUUCGUGCCAGCAGCCGCGGUAAUACGAAGGGUGCAAGCGUUAAUCGGAAUUACUGGGCGUAAAGCGCGCGUAGGUGGUUUUGUAAGUUGGAGGUGAAAUCCCCGGGCUCAACCUGGGAACGUCAUCCAAAACUGCAUGACUAGAGUACGGUAGAGGGUAGUGGAAUUUCCUGUGUAGCGGUGAAAUGCGUAGAUAUAGGAAGGAACACCAGUGGCGAAGGCGACUACCUGGACUGAUACUGACACUGAGGUGCGAAAGCGUGGGGAGCAAACAGGAUUAGAAACCCGUGUAGUCC